CACCAUAAUGUGUGAUAGUGAAUUUUAUGUGUCCACUUGACUGGGCUGAGUGAUACCCAGGUGGCAGGUAAAAUAUUAUUUCUGGGGUGUGUUGAGGGUAUUUCUGGGAGAGAUUAGCAUUUGAAUCACCUGGCUGAGUAAAGACUCACUCUCCCUAAUGUGGGAGGCGUUGGCCAAUCCUUUGAGGGUAGGAAUAGAACAGAAAGGCAUCAGGGAGAGUGACCUUGGCAAAAAGGACAUCUGUCUCCUACCCUGGGAUGUCAGACAUUGACGCACCUGGUUCUUGGGCCUUUGGGCUUGGACCAGGACCUAUACCACUGGCUUCCCUGUUUCUCAGGCCUUUGGGUUUAGACAGGAACUACACCAGCUCUCCCACAUCUCCAGGUUACAGACAGCAGAUCCUGUGCUUCUCAGCCUCCAUGAUCACGUGGACUUCUGCAUUCUGGCAAAUGAAUGACUGCACCUGACCCGUGACUCAUGACUCAACUAGUCCUGUGGACCCCGCCUUGAGGUGGACUCAGUGCACCAGGACCAUUUUCCACACCCCUACAAUUUCAUCCCCAACCAAUCAGCAGCACUCAUUCCCUAGCCUGCUGUUCACCAAAUUAGCCAUGAAACCCCUACCUAGACUAGCCUCUGAGUUCUGAGAGAGGCUGAUUUGAGUAAUAAAGUAAUAAACUCCUGUUCUGCUUGGCUAGCCCUGUUUAUUAAACUUGUUCUCUACUGCAAUA
rnacentral:lncRNA from 1 species